AUUCUCUUUCUAGUAGUCACACAUAUAAGCAAAUAUUGUACUGUUGUUACUGUAGGAGGAUGUAGUGUUGGCUGUGAUCAGAUUUCUAUUGUAUCAGCUAUCCAUUGGUGCCAUAUAGGAGGCUCCAGAAUCACCAAGAACAUGCAAGACAACUGGUAUAGAACUGGGAAGAUCACCUCAUCCACCUGAGCUUCUGAGGAAGACACGACUCAAGGCGAAUAAUGAGUUUGUGGAUCAGAAAUCAAAACCACAUAUGAUGUCGUCAUAUCUAAGAUUACAUCGGUGUCUCAGCCUGAAGAUUGAUCAAGUGAACCUCCUACAAUUGACUUUUCAAAAAUUUAUUUGGAUGAGUGGGUGGGAUUAAGAACACGCACCUUUAUGGUGUUGGUCUUCAAGCACCUUUCUAUGGGCAUGUUGGUGAAUCCUCCGCUUCGACGUCUUGACUUCAACAUCUAGACUUUGAUGCUCGAGUGCAAUAAUCUGUUGGACAUCGUUUUCAAGAAAUGAAGGAAGAAAUGAAGCAUGAGAUGAGAGGAGAUCAGACAAGAAAAAAGGGAAGAAACGCGACAAGUAUUGCGUGAAGAAUGAGACAUGAAGUGCAACAAGAGGUGCAAGAGCAAGUUAAUCAGAUACUUCAAGCACAUUGUUUGGGCAUCAUAGCUCGCUUAACUUCACCUCCUUCUGGUAGACCUGACAUGUCCUUGAAUAAUGAUACAAGUCAUAUUUAGAUCAAUUUUAGAUUGUUUUAUGUUAG